rnacentral:rRNA from 1 species
GUCUAUCUCUUGCCGUAAAAAUGCCCUAAAAAAGCACUAUAGGUUGACCUCGGAUCAGGUAGGAAUACCCGCUGAACUUAAGCAUAUCAU